rnacentral:rRNA from 1 species
AGGACGAACGCUGGCGGCGUGCUUAACACAUGCAAGUCGAGCGAGGCCCCGCCUUCGGGUGGGUGUUCUAGCGGCGAACGGGUGAGUAACACGUGGGCAACCUGCCCUCAGCUCUGGGAUAACUCCAAGAAAUUGGGGCUAAUACCGGAUAUGACUGCUGACCGCAUGGUCUGGUGGUGGAAAGAUUUAUCGGCUGGGGAUGGGCCCGCGGCCUAUCAGCUUGUUGGUGGGUAGUGGCCUACCAAGGCGACGACGGUAGCCGGCCUGAGAGGGUGACCGGCCACACUGGGACUGAGACACGGCCCAGACUCCUACGGGAGGCAGCAGUGGGGAAUAUUGCGCAAUGGGCGGAAGCCUGACGCAGCGACGCCGCGUGGGAUGACGGCCUUCGGGUUCGUAAACCUCGUUUCAGCGAGGACGAGCGAGAGUGACGCCUGACAGAAGAAGCACGGACAACGUACG